rnacentral:rRNA from 1 species
GGGGAAUAUUGCACAAUGGGGGGAACCCUGAUGCAGCCAUGCCGCGUGAAUGAAGAAGGCCUUCGGGUUGUAAAGUUCUUUCGGUGACGAGGAAGGUUGAUAGGUUAAUAGCCUAUCAAAUUGACGUUAAUCACAGAAGAAGCACCGGCUAACUCCGUGCCAGCAGCCGCGGUAAUACGGGGGGUGCGAGCGUUAAUCGGAAUAACUGGGCGUAAAGGGCACGCAGGCGGUGACUUAAGUGAGGUGUGAAAGCCCCGAGCUUAACUUGGGAAUUGCAUUUCAUACUGGGUCGCUAGAGUACUUUAGGGAGGGGUAGAAUUCCACGUGUAGCGGUGAAAUGCGUAGAGAUGUGGAGGAAUACCGAAGGCGAAGGCAGCCCCUUGGGAAUGUACUGACGCUCAUGUGCGAAAGCGUGGGGAGCAAACAGGAUUAGAUACCCUGGUAGUCCACGCUGUAAACGAUGUCGAUUUGGGGAUUGGGCUUUGAGCUUGGUGCCCGUAGCUAACGUGAUAAAUCGACCGCCUGGGGAGUACGGCCGCAAGGUUA